rnacentral:rRNA from 1 species
AUUGAACGCUGGCGGCAUGCCUUACACAUGCAAGUCGAACGGCAGCGGGCCUUCGGGGUGCCGGCGAGUGGCGAACGGGUGAGUAAUGCAUCGGAACGUGCCAUUGAGUGGGGGAUAACGUAGCGAAAGUUACGCUAAUACCGCAUAUUCUGUGAGCAGGAAAGCAGGGGACCGCAAGGCCUUGCGCUCUUUGAGCGGCCGAUGUCAGAUUAGCUAGUUGGUGAGGUAAAGGCUUACCAAGGCGACGAUCUGUAGCGGGUCUGAGAGGAUGAUCCGCCACACUGGAACUGAGACACGGUCCAGACUCCUACGGGAGGCAGCAGUGGGGAAUUUUGGACAAUGGGCGCAAGCCUGAUCCAGCCAUGCCGCGUGAGUGAAGAAGGCCUUCGGGUUGUAAAGCUCUUUCGGCCGGGAAGAAAUCGCAUGGGUUAAUACCCUGUGUGGAUGACGGUACCGGAAUAAGAAGCACCGGCUAACUACGUG